rnacentral:rRNA from 1 species
CCUACGGGAGGCUGCAGUGGGGAAUAUUGGACAAUGGGGGGAACCCUGAUCCAGCCAUGCCGCGUGUGUGAAGAAGGCCCUCGGGUUGUAAAGCACUUUCAGUGAGGAAGAACGCCUGGUGGUUAAUACCCAUCAGGAAAGACAUCACUCACAGAAGAAGCACCGGCUAACUCCGUGCCAGCAGCCGCGGUAAUACGGAGGGUGCGAGCGUUAAUCGGAAUUACUGGGCGUAAAGCGCGCGUAGGUGGCUUGAUAAGCCGGUUGUGAAAGCCCCGGGCUCAACCUGGGAACGGCAUCCGGAACUGUCAAGCUAGAGUGCAGGAGAGGAAGGUAGAAUUCCCGGUGUAGCGGUGAAAUGCGUAGAGGUCGGGAGGAAUACCAGUGGCGAAGGCGGCCUUCUGGACUGACACUGACACUGAGGUGCGAAAGCGUGGGUAGCAAACAGGAUUAGAUACCCCAGUAGUC